rnacentral:tRNA from 1 species
GGAUAGGUUGUCGAGCGGCCAAAGACGGCGGUCUGUAAAAUCGCUCCCUCCGGGUUCAGAGGUUCAAAUCCUCUCCUAUCCACCA